GACGAACCGUGCGAACGUUAUUCGGAAUCACUGGGCUUAAAGCGCGUGUAGGCGGAUGGGGACGUCGGCCACUGAAAGCCCCCGGCUCAACCGGGGAAGGGGUGCCGAAACGGCCCGUCUGGAGGGGCGUAGGGGGACCUGGAACUUCCGGUGGAGCGGUGAAAUGCGUUGAGAUCGGAAGGAACGCCCGUGGCGAAAGCGAGGUCCUGGACGUCAUCUGACGCUGAGACGCGAAAGCUAGGGGAGCGAACGGGG
rnacentral:rRNA from 1 species